AAUGAACGCUGGCGGCAUGCCUAACACAUGCAAGUCGAACGAAGGCUUCGGCCUUAGUGGCGCACGGGUGCGUAACGCGUGGGAAUCUGCCCUUGGGUUCGGAAUAACAGUUAGAAAUGACUGCUAAUACCGGAUGAUGUCGUAAGACCAAAGAUUUAUCGCCCAAGGAUGAGCCCGCGUAGGAUUAGCUAGUUGGUGGGGUAAAGGCCUACCAAGGCGACGAUCCUUAGCUGGUCUGAGAGGAUGAUCAGCCACACUGGGACUGAGACACGGCCCAGACUCCUACGGGAGGCAGCAGUGGGGAAUAUUGGACAAUGGGCGAAAGCCUGAUCCAGCAAUGCCGCGUGAGUGAUGAAGGCCUUAGGGUUGUAAAGCUCUUUUACCCGGGAUGAUAAUGACAGUACCGGGAGAAUAAGCUCCGGCUAACUUCGUG
rnacentral:rRNA from 1 species